rnacentral:rRNA from 1 species
UACGGGGGGGGCAAGCGUUGUUCGGAAUUACUGGGCGUAAAGGGCUUGUAGGUGGCCAACUAAGUCAGACGUGAAAUCCCUCGGCUUAACCGGGGAACUGCGUCUGAUACUGGAUGGCUUGAGUGUGGGAGAGGGAUGCGGAAUUCCAGGUGUAGCGGUGAAAUGCGUAGAUAUCUGGAGGAACACCGGUGGCGAAGGCGGCAUCCUGGACCAUUACUGACACUGAAAAGCGAAAGGCCAGGGGAGCAA